rnacentral:rRNA from 1 species
UAGUCCACGCCGUAAACGAUGGAUACUAGGUGUCCGGGAUAUUAACCUCCUGGGUACUACAGUUAACGCGUUAAGUAUCCCGCCUGGGGAGUACGGUCGCAAGGCUAAAACUCAAAGGAAUUGACGGGGGCCCGCACAAGCGGUGGAGUAUGUGGUUUAAUUCGAUGAUACGCGAGGAACCUUACCUGGGCUUAAAUGUAGAUUGCAUAGAUUAGAGAUAGUCUUUUACUUCGGUACUAUCUACAAGGUGCUGCAUGGUUGUCGUCAGCUCGUGCCGUGAGGUGUCGGGUUAAGUCCCAUAACGAGCGCAACCCCUAUCGUUAGUUGCUAGCAGGUAAUGCUGAGGACUCUAGCGAGACUGCCACCGUAAGGUGAGAGGAAGGUGGGGAUGACGUCAAAUCAGCACGGCCCUUAUGUCCAGGGCUACACACGUGUUACAAUGGCAGGUACAAAGGGCAGCUACCAGGUGACUGGAUGCUAAUCUCUAAAGCCUGUCCCAGUUCGGAUUGGAGU